rnacentral:rRNA from 1 species
GACGAACGCUGGCGGCGUGCUUAACACAUGCAAGUCGAACGGAAAGGCCCUGCUUUUUUGGGGUUCUCGAGGGGCGAACGGGUGUGUAACACGGGAGUAUCCUGCCCUUUGCUUUGUGAUAACUGCAGGAAACUGGGGCUACUACCGGAUAGGAGCGCCUGCUGCAUGGUGGGGGUUGGAAAUUUUCGGUGGUUGGGGAUGGACGCGCGGCUUACCAGCUGGUUGGGUGGGGAGUUGCUUACCAAGGCUUUGGUGGCUAGCCGGCCUGAGAGGGUGACCGGCCACAUUGGGACUGCGAUACGGAGCAGACUCCUACGGGAGGCAGCAGUGGGGAAUAUGGCACAAUGGGCGGAAGCCUGAUGAAGAAACGCCGCGUGCGGGAUGACGGCCUUCGGGUUGUAAACCGCUUUCGCCUGUGACGAAGCGUGAGUGACGGUAAUGGGUAAAGAAGCACCGGCUAACUACGUG